GAAUUUUGCGCAAUGGGCGAAAGCCUGACGCAGCAACGCCGCGUGAGUGAUGAAGGCCUUCGGGUCGUAAAGCUCUGUCAGAGGGGAAGAAACUCCUGAAGGAUAAUACCCUUUGGGCCUGACGGUACCCUCAAAGGAAGCACCGGCUAACUCCGUGCCAGCAGCCGCGGUAAUACGGAGGGUGCAAGCGUUGUUCGGAAUUAUUGGGUGUAAAGCGCGCGCAGGCGGUCUGUUAAGUCUGAUGUGAAAGCCCUGGGCUCAACCCGGGAAGUGCAUUGGAAACUGGCAGACUUGAGUACGGGAGAGGGAAGUGGAAUUCCGAGUGUAGGGGUGAAAUCCGUAGAUAUUCGGAGGAACACCGGUGGCGAAGGCGGCUUCCUGGACCGAUACUGACGCUGAGGCGCGAAAGCGUGGGGAGCAAACAGG
rnacentral:rRNA from 1 species